GGGCCCGCACAAGCGGAGGAACAUGUGGUUUAAUUCGAUGAUACGCGAGGAACCUUACCCGGGCUUGAAUUGCUGAUAACGGCAUUUGGAGACAGAUGCUUCCCUUCGGGGUAUCAGUGAAGGUGCUGCAUGGUUGUCGUCAGCUCGUGCCGUAAGGUGUCGGCUUAAGUGCCAUAACGAGCGCAACCCUUGCCGUUAGUUGCCAUCAGGUUAAGCUGGGCACUCUAGUGGGACUGCCAUCGUAAGAUGUGAGGAAGGUGGGGAUGACGUCAAAUCAGCACGGCCCUUAUGUCCGGGGCGACACACGUGUUACAAUGGUAGGUACAGCGGGAAGCUACCUGGCGACAGGAUGCAGAUCCCGAAAUCCUAUCUCAGUUCGGAUUGGAGUCUGGAACUCGACUCCAUGAAGCUGGAUUCGCUAGUAAUCGCGCAUCAGCCAUGGCGCGGUGAAUACGUUCCCGGGCCUU
rnacentral:rRNA from 1 species